UACGUAGGGUGCAAGCGUUGUCCGGAUUUAUUGGGCGUAAAGAGCUCGUAGGCGGUUUGUCGCGUCGGAUGUGAAAACCCAGGGCUCAACCCUGGGCCUGCAUUCGAUACGGGCAGACUAGAGUAUGGCAGGGGAGACUGGAAUUCCUGGUGUAGCGGUGAAAUGCGCAGAUAUCAGGAGGAACACCGGUGGCGAAGGCGGGUCUCUGGGCCUGUACUGACGCUGAGGAGCGAAAGCGUGGGGAGCGAACAGG
rnacentral:rRNA from 1 species